UACGUAGGGGGCAAGCGUUGUCCGGAUUUAUUGGGCGUAAAGAGCGUGUAGGCGGCCAGAUAGGUCAGCUGUGAAAACUCGAGGCUCAACCUCGAGACGUCGGUUGAAACCAUCUGGCUAGAGUCCGGAAGAGGAGAGUGGAAUUCCCGGUGUAGCGGUGAAAUGCGUAGAUAUCGGAAGGAACACCUGUGGCGAAAGCGGCUCACUGGACCAUUACUGACGCUGAUGCACGAAAGCUAGGGGAGCAAACAGG
rnacentral:rRNA from 1 species